UACGAAGGGGGCUAGCGUUGAUCGGAAUCACUGGGCGUAAAGGGUGCGUAGGCGGGUUUUUAAGUCAGGGGUGAAAUCCUGGAGCUCAACUCCAGAACUGCCUUUGAUACUGAAGAUCUUGAGUUCGGGAGAGGUGAGUGGAACUGCGAGUGUAGAGGUGAAAUUCGUAGAUAUUCGCAAGAACACCAGUGGCGAAGGCGGCUCACUGGCCCGAUACUGACGCUGAGGCACGAAAGCGUGGGGAGCAAACAGG
rnacentral:rRNA from 1 species